GGUGAGAUGGCCGAGCGGUCUAAGGCGCCAGACUAAGGCUUAGUCAUUACUUCUCACGCAAAAAUCUGGUCCGAAAGGGCGUGGGUUCGAAUCCCACUCUCAUCA